UGAACGCUGGCGGCGUGCCUAACACAUGCAAGUCGAGCGGAGAUAAGUGAAGCCUAGCGAUCUUAUCUAGCGGCGGAUGGGUGAGUAACACGUGGGUAACCUGCCCUGUACUGGGGGAUAACAGCUGGAAACGGCUGUUAAUACCGCAUAUGCGCACGGAGCCGCAUGGCCCUGGGCGGAAAGAUUCAUCGGUACAGGAUGGGCCCGCGCCGGAUUAACUUGUUGGCGGGGUAACGGCCCACCAAGGUGAUGAUCCGUAGCCGACCUGAGAGGGUGACCGGCCACAUUGGGACUGAGACACGGCCCAAACUCCUACGGGAGGCAGCAGUGGGGGAUAUUGCACAAUGGGGGAAACCCUGAUGCAGCGACGCCGCGUGAAGGAAGAAGUAUUUCGGUAUGUAAACUUCUAUCAGCGGGGAAGAAGAUGACGGUACCCGCACAAGAAGCCCCGGCUAACUACGUGCCAGCCGCUGC
rnacentral:rRNA from 1 species